AGAGUUUGAUCCUGGCUCAGGACGAACGCUGGCGGCGUGCCUAAUACAUGCAAGUCGAGCGGACCAAAGCGGAGCUUGCUCUGAUUUGGUCAGCGGCGGACGGGUGAGUAACACGUGGGCAACCUGCCCGCAAGACCGGGAUAACUCCGGGAAACCGGAGCUAAUACCGGAUAACACCGAAGACCGCAUGGUCUUUGGUUGAAAGGCGGCCUUUGGCUGUCACUUGCGGAUGGGCCCGCGGCGCAUUAGCUAGUUGGUGAGGUAACGGCUCACCAAGGCGACGAUGCGUAGCCGGCCUGAGAGGGUGACCGGCCACACUGGGACUGAGACACGGCCCAGACUCCUACGGGAGGCAGCAGUAGGGAAUCUUCCGCAAUGGGCGAAAGCCUGACGGAGCGACGCCGCGUGAGCGAAGAAGGCCUUCGGGUCGUAAAGCUCUGUUGUGAGGGACGAAGGGGCGCCGUUCGAAGAGGGCGGCGCGGUGACGGUACCUCACGAGGAAGCCCCGGCUAACUACGUGCCAGCAGCCGCGGUAAUACGUAGGGGGCGAGCGUUGUCCGGAAUUAUUGGGCGUAAAGCGCGCGCAGGCGGUUCCUUAAGUCUGAUGUGAAAGCCCACGGCUCAACCGUGGAGGGUCAUUGGAAACUGGGGGGACUUGAGUGCAGGAGAGGAGAGCGGAAUUCCACGUGUAGCGGUGAAAUGCGUAGAGAUGUGGAGGAACACCAGUGGCGAAAGCGGCUCUCUGGCCUGCAACUGACGCUGAGGCGCGAAAGCGUGGGGAGCAAACAG
rnacentral:rRNA from 1 species